rnacentral:rRNA from 1 species
AUUGAACGCUGGCGGCAGGCCUAACACAUGCAAGUCGAACGAGUGGCGGACGGGUGAGGAAUGUCUGGGAAACUGCCUGAUGGAGGGGGAUAACUACUGGAAACGGUAGCUAAUACCGCAUACCAUCGGAUGUGCCCCGAUGGGAUUAGCUAGUAGGUGGGGUAAAGGCUACCCUAGGCGACGAUCACUCGCUGGUCUGAGAUUAUGACGAGCCACGCUGGAACUGAGACACGGUCCAUACUCCUACGGGAGGCAGCAGGGGGGUAUAUUGCACAAUGGGCGCAAGCCUGAGGCAGCCAUGCCGCGUGUAUGAAGAAGGCCUUCGGGUUGUAAAGUACUUUCAGCGGGGAGGCGUUACCCGCAGAAGAAGCACCGGCUAACUCCGUGCCAGCAGCCGCGGUAAUUC